GACGAACGCUGGCGGCGUGCUUAACACAUGCAAGUCGAACGGAAAGACCCUGCUUUUGUGGGGUGCUCGAGUGGCGAACGGGUGAGUAACCCGUGAGUAACCUGCCCUUGACUUUGGGAUAACUUCAGGAAACUGGGGCUAAUACCGGAUAGGAGCUCCUGCUGCAUGGUGGGGGUUGGAAAGUUUCGGCGGUUGGGGAUGGACUCGCGGCUUAUCAGCUUGUUGGUGGGGUAGUGGCUUACCAAGGCUUUGACGGGUAGCCGGCCUGAGAGGGUGACCGGCCACAUUGGGACUGAGAUACGGCCCAGACUCCUACGGGAGGCAGCAGUGGGGAAUAUUGCACAAUGGGCGGAAGCCUGAUGCAGCAACGCCGCGUGCGGGAUGACGGCCUUCGGGUUGUAAACCGCUUUCGCCUGUGACGAAGCGUGAGUGACGGUAAUGGGUAAAGAAGCACCGGCUAACUACGUG
rnacentral:rRNA from 1 species